AAGGCCUGAAGGCGUGAUCGAGGCAUUUCUCUCUCCCACAAUUGCACUGCUACUUAGAGCACUUCCACCAGUUGACUCUUGCCAUGGCAAGAUUAGCCCUAGGGCAGGCACUAUUCACGUGAAUAGUGGCUGCCCUAGCCCCCUCCAGUAAAAUGUGUUUCCAGCAGUUGGGGCUUGCCAUGGCAAUUACUAUUCAUUUUUUUGUUUUUUUCACAAUUUUGUUUAC
rnacentral:lncRNA from 1 species